rnacentral:lncRNA from 7 species
AUAUCACAGUUACGUUAGAAAGGUAGAGCAAUGGCAAGUAAACCUGAACGCAUAUCCAAGAUGAUGAGACCUGCUGCUUUAUCCAUGCCUGCAAAUGAUUACAUCACCUAGUGCACCAGAGUUACGGGUCUGAAACAGGGAUGUGCCUCUUACAGGUGGGGUAAAGGUGACAGGUGAACAAAUCACAGGUCUUGAGUUUCUCUACCCUGCCUCUCUUGGUAACGUCAUCUCCAGUACCAUCUGCUACCUACCAGACAAACAGACCAACCACAUAAUGAGGUACCAGCUUCCACCCAGCUACCGUGACUAAAUCAGAACAAAAGACUCAACGCCUCCACGCCUCCUUCAACAAAGGAACACAAGUCUAAGCUGUCUUUGCUAAUUGCUGGGUUUCAGGUUCUCUGUUACAGAUUUUAAGUGAGCUACAAACUUCCAUCAAAUACUUAUAGCUGUUGGAUAAAGGUACUAAGAAUAAAAGAUAAAUGGAAGCGAAAGGCAAUGAUGUUGUUCUCCUAAAAUGUGAGACAGUUUGCUUCUUGUCAGCAAGUGGAGCUCAGCUCAGCUUCAUCUCCCUGAGCUGCUGGAGGCAGACUAGCGUGCUACAGAUUCACUUGCUCGAUAGGCUGACUUGAAACAAUUCUGGGAAAUUAUUGCUCUAUUCAUAUAUCACUUUUUGCACUUCCUAUAUACUAAAUGAGGCACUUUGGGUGAUUUUAAAGUGAAAGAAAAUAAUGAAAUAAGCUUAUUAAGAAACACCAUUCAGUUUAAAAAAAAGACUCUCCUUGCCACAGAUGCUGUCCCCAAACUGUAAAUGAGCAUAUUUAUAAAUAUGUUUUUAGUAUUCCAGGGUAAGAAACAUUUAAUAUCAGUUUCUCUGUCUAAAUGAUUGCUAUCCCUACCCAGUUAGUGCAGAAAUGGUGUAUGAGUCACAGGAAAUUUAAGUGGUUUCUCUCAGGAAAAUUUGGUGGUAUGCAUUUUUUUGAUGCACGUAGAGCUGUUGAAUGAAUAAUUGGCAACCUAUUUAGUGUCCCUUGCUUUAAAGCUGUCUAGUACAUUUGCUGUAUAAAAAAUGUCUUUCAAAGCUGUUAAAUAUGUAACAAAAAGAGGUUGCUAUCACCAUUCUGACAUGAACAAAGCCAUACAGCGAGCUGCCUGAGGUACUUCCAGCAUGGUACUAAUUACAAAUACAAUAAAAAAUGAAAAUUU